GCUUGGUUGGCUCAGCUGGUUAGAGCGCAGGUCUCAUAUUUACGUAUGAGCCGCCCUUCGGCGGAUUAAUCCUGAGGUCGUGAGUUCGAUCCUCACACCGAGCA